UACGGGGGGAGCAAGCGUUGUUCGGAUUUACUGGGCGUAAAGGGCGCGUAGGCGGCUCUUCAAGUCAGCCGUGAAAUCUCCAGGCUUAACCUGGAAGGGUCGGUUGAUACUGUCGAGCUAGAGUGUGGAAGAGGCAACUGGAAUUCCGUGUGUAGCGGUGAAAUGCGUAGAUAUACGGAGGAACACCUGCGGCGAAGGCGGGUUGCUGGGCCAACACUGACGCUGAGGCGCGAAAGCUAGGGUAGCAAACGGG
rnacentral:rRNA from 1 species